rnacentral:tRNA from 1 species
AAAAUUUAGUUAAAAAAUAACAUUAGUUUGUCAAGCUAAAAUUAUUAGAAAUUAAUAAUUUUUA